CCAAAUUCUUGACGAAAGUUGUUGCGUUCUAGAGCGUAUUUAUUUUACUCAUAUUUACUCUUAAGGAGAGUCUUGUUUUGAGAGCAAAGAGUUUUUAUACACUUGAAGGGAAGUGUUAAUCCCUUGUAUUGUAAGAAGGAACGUUGUGAUUCCUUUGGUUGAAGUCUUUAAGUGUUGUAUCUUCAAGCAAAGGUUGUUGAGGCUUGUGUGACUCAAGUUCUCAGUUUGUAACGGUUUGUUAAGC
rnacentral:lncRNA from 1 species